rnacentral:siRNA from 1 species
AUUGUUUCAGUUGCCAUUAUUU